GAUGAAGAACGUAGCGAAAUGCGAUAAGUAAUGUGAAUUGCAGAAUUCAGUGAAUCAUCGAAUCUUUGAACGCACAUUGCGCCCCCUGGAAUUCCGGGGGGCAUGCCUGUUCGAGCGUCUCAGGGACGAACCCUCGCGCGGGUGUACGCGCGGUCGUGGCUGCGGUCGCGUGCCCGAGGCGGCGGCCACCGCGCUGGAAUCCAUGGGCGGACGCCUGCCGCGUGGCCGAGCGUGAUAUGACGCAUUGGCGCUCGCACGCGGAGAGGCUGCCAGCCCUGGCCCGUCUGUCGGGCGGGGGAGAGCAAGACACGUGAACUCCUCGAAUCAGGUAGGGAUACCCGCUGAACUUAAGCAUAUCAAUAAGCGGAGGA
rnacentral:misc_RNA from 1 species